rnacentral:rRNA from 1 species
CAGUAGCCACGGUAAGACAGAGGAUGCAAGCGUUAUCCGGAAUGAUUGGGCGUAAAGCGCGCGUAGGUGGUUUGUUAAGUUGGAUGUGAAAGCCCCGGGCUCAACCUGGGAACUGCAUCCAAAACUGGCAAGCUAGAGUACGGUAGAGGGUGGUGGAAUUUCCUGUGUAGCGGUGAAAUGCGUAGAUAUAGGAAGGAACACCAGUGGCGAAGGCGACCACCUGGACUGAUACUGACACUGAGGUGCGAAAGCGUGGGGAGCAAACAGGAUUAGAUACCCCGGUAGUCCCUGUCUCUUAUAC